rnacentral:rRNA from 1 species
AAACUUUAACAGAACCCUUCGGGGCGAAGCAUAAAGUGGAUUAGCGGCGGACGGGUGAGUAACACGUGAGUAACCUGCCUUAGACAUUGGGAUAGCCUCGGGAAACCGGGAUUAAUACCAAAUAAAAUCAUAAUGACACAUGUCAUAACGAUCAAAACUCCGGUGGUCUAAGAUGGACUCGCGUCCCAUUAGCUAGUUGGUAGAGUAAAAGCCUACCAAGGCGACGAUGGGUAGCCGGCCUGAGAGGGUGAACGGCCACAUUGGAACUGAGAAACGGUCCAAACUCCUACGGGAGGCAGCAGUGGGGAAUAUUGCACAAUGGAGGGAACUCUGAUGCAGCGACGCCGCGUGAACGAAGAAGGCUUUCGAGUCGUAAAGUUCUUUUAUAUGGGAAGAUAAUGACGGUACCAUAAGUAAAAAGCCCCGGCUAACUAC